rnacentral:rRNA from 1 species
AUUGAACGCUAGCGGGAUGCUUUACACAUGCAAGUCGAACGAGUGGCGGACGGGUGAGUAAUGUCUCGGAACGUGCCCGGUAGCGGGGGAUAACUACUCGAAAGAGUGGCUAAUACCGCAUACCAUCGGAUGUGCCCAUAUGGGAUUAGCUAGUUGGUGGGGUAAAGGCUCACCAAGGCGACGAUCCUUAGCUGGUUUGAGAGGAUGACCAGCCACACUGGGACUGAGACACGGUCCAGACUCCUACGGGAGGCAGCAGUGGGGAAUAUUGCACAAUGGGGGAAAGCCUGAUGCAGCCAUGCCGCGUGUAUGAAGAAGGCCUUCGGGUUGUAAAGUACUUUCAGCGGGGAGGCGGUACUCGCAGAAGAAGCACCGGCUAACUCCGUGCCAGCAGCCGCGGUAAUAC